AGAGAGAGAGAGAGAGAGAGGUUGCCUUUUCUUGCCUUGCUACUGUGGUCCUCCUUUUGUUGCAUUUUGAUUCUUGGAAGUUUUGCUAAUGGAAUCAAGGCACAGGAUAGCAAUUUAAAGGAUCCCAUUCUCUUUCUUGGUUUCUUGCCCUCUACUUCCCCUUCCUCCUCCUCCUCCCCCUCUUCUUCUUCUUCUUCUUAUCUCACAAAGGUCUAGGAGGGACGAGAAAGGUCGUAAAGGCUAUGUUUCAGAGCCAGCUUGCCAGGCCACCAUCCCUCAGAGGUUCCCUUAAAGCUCUUGAAGCUGACAUAAACCAUGCCAACACCUUGGCAGAUGCCAUUCAAAGAGCUUAUGGUGGUGCCUGUCUCCAGAUGAGGCUGUCCUGUAGUCCUUUGGCACCCUUCUUCCUCUUCCUAAUGCAAUGGCUGGACUGCACUUGUUCUUACAGCCUACCAAGUUAUUUAGGGCUUUUCCAAAUACUUGUCUACAAGGUUUAUGUUGAUGGUAUGACAACAGUAUCUACGUUCGAAAGACGGGCCAGCAUCAGAGAGUUCUAUGCUAUUAUAUAUCCUUCCCUUCAACAAAUUAAAGGCAACAUAGUGGAAAGAGAACAAUCUAAAGAGAAAGGCCGAGAUAAAUAUCUAGUUGGCAGAAAAAGAAUGGAAGAACCGAAGAAGCUUUUCGAUGAGGAUUUUGACAGAGACGACGAAUGUGGGAUUUGCCUGGAGGUUUGCACCAAAAUGGUCCUGCCGAGCUGCAGCCAUGCUAUGUGUAUAAAAUGCUACCGCGACUGGAAUGUGAGAUCUCAGUCCUGCCCCUUCUGUAGAGGAAGCAUAAAAAGAGUGCGUUCAAGAGACUUAUGGGUGCUUACAAACAAGAGUGAGGUGGUCGACACCAUGACUUUAGAAAGGGAUAACCUGAGGCGCUUCUAUCGCUAUAUAGAUAGCUUGCCACUGAUCAUUCCAGACAGCCUUUUCUUGGUUUAUUAUGAUUAUGUAGUAUAACCAUGAGAUUUAAGGAUGUACAGAUUGCUGGAAAGCUGGCCAGCCAUUCCUUGCGGAUUGGUUCUGGAAGUUGAACACUACAGCACAUUAUGGAUUGGAAAAACUGUUUUGAAGAACUAUUUUGGACUACAGCACCAUGUCUCAAGAUUCCUGUGUCAUUCUUACUCAAAACAUGCUCUUCUAUGGACUACUUGGAUUCACUAGGACAAGACAUGGGGACAGGACUGUUUGGAGGAAAUUAUUGAUGCUGUGAGAGAUGACCAGGGACCUGUUUGAGUAUACACUGGGAAACAGGAAACUAAUCUUCUGUUUUAUAGAUCGUCCGAGUUGCAAAUGCUGAUCUCUUGCAUCUUCUUGAAAUACCAGAAUCGAUUCAAAACUGAAUGUGAGAUUAAAUCUUCCUGUAGCUCUCAAUUCAAACAAUGAAUAGAUCUGGGUUGAAAUUGUACUGAUAAAUCUGUGUUUUGUA